UACGGGGGGAGCAAGCGUUGUUCGGAUUUACUGGGCGUAAAGGGCGCGUAGGCGGUCAGCACAAGUCAGUUGUGAAAUCUCCGGGCUUAACUCGGAAAGGUCAACUGAUACUGUGCGACUAGAGUGCAGAAGGGGCAACUGGAAUUCUCGGUGUAGCGGUGAAAUGCGUAGAUAUCGAGAGGAACACCUGCGGCGAAGGCGGCAUCCUGGACCGACACUGACGCUGAGGAGCGAAAGCCAGGGGAGCAAACGGG
rnacentral:rRNA from 1 species